rnacentral:rRNA from 1 species
GAUGAACGCUGGCGGCGUGCCUAAUACAUGCAAGUCGAGCGAACGGACGAGGAGCUUGCUCCUCUGACGUUAGCGGCGGACGGGUGAGUAACACGUGGAUAACCUACCUAUAAGACUGGGAUAACUUCGGGAAACCGGAGCUAAUACCGGAUAAUAUAUUGAACCGCAUGGUUCAAUAGUGAAAGACGGUUUUGCUGUCACUUAUAGAUGGAUCCGCGCUGCAUUAGCUAGUUGGUAAGGUAACGGCUUACCAAGGCAACGAUGCGUAGCCGACCCGAGAGGGUGAUCGGCCACACUGGAACUGAGACACGGUCCAGACUCCUACGGGAGGCAGCAGUAGGGAAUCUUCCGCAAUGGGCGAAAGCCUGACGGAGCAACGCCGCGUGAGUGAUGAAGGUCUUCGGAUCGUAAAACUCUGUUAUUAGGGAAGAACAUAUGUGUAAGUAACUGUGCACAUCUUGACGGUACCUAAUCAGAAAGCCACGGCUAACUACGUG